UGGACGGGUGAGUAAUGUCUGGGAAACUGCCUGAUGGAGGGGGGUAACUACUGGAAACGGUAGCUAAUACCGCAUAACGUCGCAAGACCAAAGAGGGGGACCUUCGGGCCUCUUGCCAUCGGAUGUGCCCAGAUGGGAUUAGCUAGUAGGUGGGGGAAGGGCUCACCUAGGCGACGAUCCCUAGCUGGUCUGAGAGGAUGACCAGCCACACUGGAACUGAGACACGGUCCAG
rnacentral:rRNA from 1 species